rnacentral:rRNA from 1 species
CCCUUAGAUGUUCUGGGCUGCACGCGCGUUACACUGAUGCAUUCAACGAGUCUAAAACCUGCUCUGAUAGGGGUGGGUAAUCUUUUGAAUGUGCAUCGUGAUUGGGAUAGAUGAUUGCAAUUUUUCAUCUUCAACGAGGAAUGCCUAGUAAACGCAAGUCAUCAGCUUGCAUUGAUUACGUCCCUGCCCUUUGUACACACCGCCCGUCGCUCCUACCGAUUGAAUGAUCCGAUGAAUAUCAUGGAUUGAGGAUGCAAGCAGGUUCGCCUGUCUUCAUCUUCGAGAAGUGAAGUAAAUCUUAUCAUUUAGAGGAAGGAGAAGUCGUAACA